UGAAGACUUGCUCUCUGAUUCAGCGGCGGACGGGUGAGUAAUGCCUAGGAAUCUGCCUGGUAGUGGGGGACAACGUUUCGAANGGAACGCUAAUACCGCAUACGUCCUACGGGAGAAAGCAGGGGACCUUCGGGCCUUGCGCUAUCAGAUGAGCCUAGGUCGGAUUAGCUAGUUGGUGAGGUAAUGGCUCACCAAGGCGACGAUCCGUAACUGGUCUGAGAGGAUGAUCAGUCACACUGGAACUGAGACACGGUCCAGACUCCUACGGGAGGCAGCAGUGGGGAAUAUUGGACAAUGGGCGAAAGCCUGAUCCAGCCAUGCCGCGUGUGUGAAGAAGGUCUUCGGAUUGUAAAGCACUUUAAGUUGGGAGGAAGGGUUGUAGAUUAAUACUCUGCAAUUUUGACGUUACCGACAGAAUAAGCACCGGCUAACUCUGUGCCAGCAGCCGCGGUAAUACAGAGGGUGCAAGCGUUAUCGGAAUACUGGGCGUAAACGCCGUAG
rnacentral:rRNA from 1 species